UUGCUUCAGCUGCACAUACUCUAACACUGGGACGAUACAGGGAAGACUAGCAUGGCCUCUGGGCAAGGGCGACAUGCAAACUCGUGAAGCGUUCCAUAUUUUC
rnacentral:snRNA from 1 species